GUGAAGUUUCAAGACUUCACCCCCAGAAUUUGAAUCCUCUUUUACAGUACAGAGACACUCACACAAAUCAGACAGCUGUACAUAAUACAAUAAAAUAAGCUGGGCACAACAAAAAGAUAUCUAUAAAAUACAUAUAGCUGAGUACAAUACAGAGAUGACCAUUCCACAAACAGAGCUGAGAAAAAAAUAAAGCUAUAAUACACAGAGCUGGGCACUACACAAAGAUAACUCACAACACACAUGGAUGGGUAGACUACAUAGAUACCCAUAUAUCUGGUAGCGCUGAGUAAAACACAGAGAAAUAACACACAGAGCUGUACACAAUAAAGAGAUACUAUCCCAGACAGCCAGAAUCACUGAUGGAUUACACAGCGUUGCAAUGCAGAGAUUCCCACACAGUACAUGUC